UAAGCGAAUAGUGAAAUCUGUCGGCUCAACCGACAGGCUAUUAUUCGAACUGGCAGACUUGAGAAUGGUAGAGGUAACUGGAAUUUCUAGUGUAGGAGUGAAAUCCGUAGAUAUUAGAAGGAACACCAAUGGCGUAGGCAGGUUACUGGACCAUUUCUGACACUGAGGCACGAAAGCGUGGGGAGCGAACGGGAUUAGAUACCCCGGUAGUCCACGCCGUAAACGAUGGAUACUA
rnacentral:rRNA from 1 species